AGCGAACGCUGGCGGCAGGCCUAACACAUGCAAGUCGAACGAACUCUUCGGAGUUAGUGGCGGACGGGUGAGUAACACGUGGGAACGUGCCUUUAGGUUCGGAAUAACUCAGGGAAACUUGUGCUAAUACCGAAUGUGCCCUUCGGGGGAAAGAUUUAUCGCCUUUAGAGCGGCCCGCGUCUGAUUAGCUAGUUGGUGAGGUAAAGGCUCACCAAGGCGACGAUCAGUAGCUGGUCUGAGAGGAUGAUCAGCCUCAUUGGGACUGAGACACGGCCCAAACUCCUACGGGAGGCAGCAGUGGGGAAUCUUGCGCAAUGGGCGAAAGCCUGACGCAGCCAUGCCGCGUGAAUGAUGAAGGUCUUAGGAUUGUAAAAUUCUUUCACCGGGGACGAUAAUGACGGUACCCGGAGAAGAAGCCCCGGCUAACUUCGUG
rnacentral:rRNA from 1 species